ACUCCUACGGGAGGCAGCAGUGGGGAAUAUUGCACAAUGGGGGAAACCCUGAUGCAGCCAUGCCGCGUGUGUGAAGAAGGCCUUCGGGUUGUAAAGCACUUUCAGUAGGGAGGAAGGUAGUGUAGUUAACACCUGCACUAUUUGACGUUACCUACAGAAGAAGCACCGGCUAACUCCGUGCCAGCAGCCGCGGUAAUACGGAGGGUGCGAGCGUUAAUCGGAAUUACUGGGCGUAAAGCGCAUGCAGGCGGCCUGUUAAGUCAGAUGUGAAAGCCCGGGGGCUUAACCUCGGAAUUGCAUUUGAAACUGGCAGGCUAGAGUCUUGUAGAGGGGGGUAGAAUUUCAGGUGUAGCGGUGAAAUGCGUAGAGAUCUGAAGGAUACCAGUGGCGAAGGCGGCCCCCUGGACAAAGACUGACGCUCAGAUGCG
rnacentral:rRNA from 1 species